rnacentral:rRNA from 1 species
ACGAACGCUUGCGGCGUGCUUAACACAUGCCAGUCGAACGGAAAGGCCCUGCUUUUGUGGGGUUCUCGAGUGGCGAACGGGUGAGUAACACGUGAGUAACCUGCCCUUGACUUUGGGAUAACUUCAGGAAACUGGGGCUAAUACCGGAUAGGAGCUCCUGCUGCAUGGUGGGGGUUGGAAAGUUUCGGCGGUUGGGGAUGGACUCGCGGCUUAUCAGCUUGUUGGUGGGGUAGUGGCUUACCAAGGCUUUGACGGGUAGCCGGCCUGAGAGGGUGACCGGCCACAUUGGGACUGAGAUACGGCCCAGACUCCUACGGGAGGCAGCAGUGGGGAAUAUUGCACAAUGGGCGGAAGCCUGAUGCAGCAACGCCGCGUGCGGGAUGACGGCCUUCGGGUUGUAAACCGCUUUCGCCUGUGACGAAGCGUGAGUGACGGUAAUGGGUAAAGAAGCACCGGCUAACUACGUG